AGUCGAGCGAGAUCUUCGGGUCUAGCGGCGGACGGGUGAGUAACGCGUGGGAAUAUGCCUCUUGGUACGGAAUAGCCUCGGGAAACUGGGAGUAAUACCGUAUGUGCCCUUUGGGGGAAAGAUUUAUCGCCAAGAGAUUAGCCCGCGUUGGAUUAGGUAGUUGGUGGGGUAAUGGCCUACCAAGCCGACGAUCCAUAGCUGGUUUGAGAGGAUGAUCAGCCACACUGGGACUGAGACACGGCCCAGACUCCUACGGGAGGCAGCAGUGGGGAAUCUUAGACAAUGGGGGCAACCCUGAUCUAGCCAUGCCGCGUGAGUGAUGAAGGCCUUAGGGUUGUAAAGCUCUUUCAGCUGGGAAGAUAAUGACGGUACCAGCAGAAGAAGCCCCGGCUAACUCCGUGCCAGCAGCCGCGGUAAUACGGAGGGGGCUAGCGUUGUUCGGAAUUACUGGGCGUAAAGCGCACGUAGGCGGACCAGAAAGUUGGGGGUGAAAUCCCGGGGCUCAACCCCGGAACUGCCUUCAAAACUAUUGGUCUGGAGUUCGAGAGAGGUGAGUGGAAUUCCGAGUGUAGAGGUGA
rnacentral:rRNA from 1 species